rnacentral:lncRNA from 1 species
GCCCAACAGGUGGUCUGUGUGGGACCACAUGGAUCCAGGUGGUCUGUGUGGGACCACAUGGGUCCAACAGGUGGUCUCUGUGGGACCACAUGGGUCCAACAGGUGGUCUCUGUGGGUCCACAUGGGUCCAACAGGUGGUCUCUGUGGGUCCACAUGGGUCCAACAGGUGGUCUCUGUGGGUCCACAUGGGUCCAGGUGGUCUGUGUGGGACCACAUGGAUCCAGGUGGUCUGUGUGGGACCACAUGGAUCCAGGUGGCCUGUGUGGGACCACAUGGGUCCAACAGAUGGUCUCUGUGGGACCAUAUGGGUCCAACAGGUGGUCUCUGUGGGACCAUAUGGGUCCAACAGGUGGUCUAUGUGGGACCACAUGGGUCCAACAGGUGGUCUAUGUGGGACCACAUGGGUCCAACAGGUGGUCUCUGUGGGACCACAUGGGUCCAACAGGUGGUCUCUGUGGGACCAUAUGGGUCCAAGAGGUGGUCUCUGUGGGACCACAUGGGUCCAACAGGUGGUCUAUGUGGGACCACAUGGGUCCAACAGGUGGUCUCUGUGGGACCACAUGGGUCCAACAGGUGGUCUCUGUGGGACCAUAUGGGUCCAACAGGUGGUCUAUGUGGGACCACAUGGGUCCAACAGGUGGCCUGUGUGGGACCACAUGGGUCCAACAGGUGGUCUCUGUGGGACCACAUGGGUCCAGGUGGUCUUUGUGGGACCACAUGGAUCCAGGUGGCCUGUGUGGGACCACAUGGGUCCAACAGGUGGUCUGUGUGGGACCACAUGGGUCCAACAGGUGGUCUGUGUGGGACCACAUGGGUCCAGGUGGUCUGUGUGGGACCACAUGGAUCCAGGUGGCCUGUGUGGGACCACAUGGGUCCAACAGGUGGUCUCUGUGGGUCCACAUGGGUCCAACAGGUGGUCUGUGGUCCAAAUCCAGCUCCUGGGAUGAAAUAGUGAAAUACAAAAAUUACACUGAAAAUAUGAGUCAAAGUCAAAGUCACAUCCAGACCAAACUGAUUUAAAGUGGGUCAGAACCAGUCUAAGACCAUCAGAAGAACCAGAAACUAUGAACAGCAAGAAUAUUAUUUAUAUUUAAGAUAAAAAAAAAAAAAAAAACAGUACAAUUACACAAACAUGUUUACAUUUUAAAAACUAUUGAAACAACUGAAAAAUCUGAACAAAUAUGAUCCACAUCCAUAAAACAGAACUAACCUGGGUUUAACUCACCUGGGUUUAACAGGCCUGGUUCAUAUGGACUAAACUAACCUGGGUUUAACAGGCCUGGUUCAAAUGGACUAAACUAACCUGGGUUUAACAGGUCUGGUUUAUCUGGACUAAACUAACCUGGGUUUAAUAGGCCUGGUUUACAUGGACUAAACUAACCUGGGUUUAACAGGU